rnacentral:rRNA from 1 species
CUACAAAGGAAUUGACGGGGGCCCGCACAAGCGGUGGAGCAUGUGGUUAAUUCGACGCAACGCGAAGAACCUUACCAGGGCUUGACAUCCCCUGACCGCGUAUGAAAGUACGUUUUCACCCUCGGGUGACAGGGAGACAGGUGGUGCAUGGUUGUCGUCAGCUCGUGUCGUGAGAUGUUGGGUUAAGUCCCGCAACGAGCGCAACCCCUACGUUUAGUUGCUAACGCGUGAAGGCGAGCACUCUAGACGAACUGCCGUUGACAAAACGGAGGAAGGUGGGAUGACGUCAAAUCAUCAUGCCCCUUAUGUUCUGGGCUACACACGUGCUACAAUGGCCGGUACAGACGGACGCAAAGCCGCGAGGUGGAGCAAAUCCUAAAAAGCCGGUCUCAGUUCGGAUUGCAGGCUGCAAUUCGCCUGCAUGAAGUCGGAAUCGCUAGUAAUCGCAGGUCAGCAUACUGCGGUCGAAUACGUUCCCGGGCCUU